rnacentral:rRNA from 1 species
AGUGAACGCUGGCGGUAUGCCUAACACAUGCAAGUCGACCGGCAGCACAGUAAGAGCUUGCUCUUACGGGUGGCGAGUGGCUGACUGGUGAGGAAUACAUCUGCCUCUACUUUUUCGUUGGGUAUAACGUAGGGAAACUUACGCUAAUACCUCAUACGACCUACGGUUGAAAGCAUGGUAUCUUCGGACCUUGCUCGAUUUAAUGCUCCGAUGUCGGAUUGGCUAGUUGGCGGGGUAACGGCCCACCAAGGCGACGAUCCGUAGCUGGUCUGAGAGGAUGAGAAGCCAAACUGGAAAUGAGAAACGGUGAAGACGCCUACGGGAGGCAGCAGGGGGGAAGAUUGGACAAUGGGCGAAAGCCUGAACCAGCCAUACCGCGUGGGUGAAGAAGGCAUUCGGGUUGUAAAGCCCUUUUGUUGGGAAAGAAAAGAAGAAGGUUAAUACCCCGCUGUUCUGACGGUACCCAAAGAAUAAGCACCGGCUAACUACGUG